rnacentral:tRNA from 1 species
GGGAGCGACUGGGCCCCGGUGGGCCCCGCGGGCUUCAAACCCGUUGAGGGGCAUUAACAGUGUCCUUGGUGGGUUCGACUCCCAUUCGCUCCCGCCA